CAUGCAAGUCGAGCGCCUCGCAAGAGGAGCGGCAGACGGGUGAGUAACGCGUGGGAAUCUACCCAUCUCUACGGAACAACUCCGGGAAACUGGAGCUAAUACCGUAUACGUCCUUCGGGAGAAAGAUUUAUCGGGNAUGGAUGAGCCCGCGUUGGAUUAGCUAGUUGGUGGGGUAAUGGCCUACCAAGGCGACGAUCCAUAGCUGGUCUGAGAGGAUGAUCAGCCACACUGGGACUGAGACACGGCCCAGACUCCUACGG
rnacentral:rRNA from 1 species